CGGGGAUUGGCUCAGCUUGGUAGAGCGCAUCGUUCGGGACGAUGAGGUCGUCAGUUCGAAUCUGGCAUCCCCGACCA
rnacentral:tRNA from 5 species